UGCACUGCAGGCAGAUUCUUUACCAUCUGAGCUAUGGGGGAAGCCACCCUAACUUUAUUACCCCUUUCAAGACUCUAUCUUUAAAGGCAGUGACGUUCUAAGUCCUGCAAGUUAGGGCUUCAGCACAUUAAUUUGGAGAGGGGAUACAGUUUAGCCCCCUAACAAUGAGAUCAUUGAUAUGGUCACCAAAAAGGCUUAUUGUAGAUGGAUGCCCCACACCCCUGCAGUUGCUAUGCCAUUUGAAAUUGUAAAAGGAGUUGUUUCCUGUUGUGGCUGGCUGGGCCAUAAGAUGUGUGUCAGGAAGCUUUAACUUAGGGACCCAGAAUCAAAGCUAUGCUCCAGGAAUUAAUAAGGAGAGAUGAUUCAUAUCCUCCAAAUCAGGAAGCUUUGAAGUGUGAGAGAGAGAACUGUUAAUAAGUGUAUGGGGUCAGCAGAUAAAGACUUAGGAAGGUCUGGCAAACUGGAGUCAUUAGUCUUUUAAUUAAUAAAUCAUGUUACCAUACUUUUCUGCUCUCCAGUCCUACACUGAGCUAGGUCAGUGUAUCACUUGCAUUGAACAUACAAGAACCUCUGAUUUAUUUGUUCUUGAUUUCAAGAUAUGCUUAACCGUGUUAAAGUUCAUAGUGUCAAGGAACAGAACCCCACUCUGCUUUGAGCAGAAGUAGAAUUUUUAUAAAGGAUGUUGGUGGCUCACAUCUCUGGGAGGGCCAAGGAACAAGACUGCGGGGCAGAGUCAGGAACGAUGUGCAGAACUGUCCAGUGAGGCCUCGCUGGGCUCACACAGCAGCCUGGGCUUUGAUACCACGUGUCCUGGAUGCUGGGCGUGGCCUCUGGUCUGGACAAUUGAGCCUGUCGCUUAGUUUCCUCCCUUGCUCCUUGUAUUCCAUCCCAUUCUCUGCGUGGCAGCCAAAGCGAUUUUUGAAAACUGCCAGUCACGUCACCUCUCUCCUCAGGUCCUCCCAUGAGGUGUGGACUGCAGACUGGGUGGUUUCUUCUGGCCCUCCUCUCCCUGCCCUUGCCUUCUGAGUUGCUUAGUCGCAAGCUCUUCCCACCUCGGUGCCUUUGCAUAGCUGCUGUUCCCUCUGCCUGGUGCCCUCUGCCCCAGGGGAGCCAGUUCCUGCUUCUGAUUCAGGUUUUUACUUAAAUGCCACGUUCUCAGAACAGAGGCCUUUUCUGACCAUGCAGUCCACAGAAACCGUUCCUUCCAAAUGACUCCAGUCAUGAUAAUAGCACGCCGGGUUAUCACAGCCCUUGUCUGAAACGUUGUCCACUUUUUUGCUUGCACUUUGGGGUCUGUGUCUGGGCUCUAGACUGUUUUCUGUCAACACCCCUGCUCUUCCCUGCUCUCUCCUCAGCCCCAGGACCUGCCCGGCCCAGGUCAGUGCUCAGUAAAUGCUGGGCCUCUUCGUCUACAAAUGUUUGCUGGACAAAUAGGGAAGGGGUAGAUUCAGCAGACAGGAAGCAGGGGAGGGGAGUUUGUGUGUCCCGAGGCAUGGUUAGGGGGUCAAACACUCCCUUCUCUACCCUGUCGGAGUGAGCAUGAGUUGGCUGAUUCUAGGACCCCAGGAUGCACAAGGCUGACUGCCCCCAGGACAGGAGGAAGGGCCAGCCCUCCCGUGCCCUCUCCCUGGCAGUGGCCCCAUCAGGAGGCUUUUUCUGCAGAGCAAGCCCUCCUCACAGGCCUGUGGGUUCAGGGAGGAAAAAAAAAACAAGCUCUGUCUGGCUCCAGCUUCCGGUUCCGGGUUAACUGGUCUGGGUGGAGCCUGGGCAUCCCUAGUGAGCUGAAAACAGCUCCUCUGGGGCUUCUCAGAUGGGGCUGAGCUGGAGAAGUGGGCAGAGGGUAGGCCUUCAAUUUCCACAGCUUGCAAUCCCCUCUGCUCCUGCAUUCAGCAUCUCAGCUUUGCUGGGACCAUGGUGGAUACCCAAGGCCCUCAAGAUGCCAGGUCUCGGAUGCCUCUGCUCCUGCAUUCAGCAUCUCAGCUUUGCUGGGACCACAGUGAAUACCCCAACCCCAGAAGGACGCCAGGGAAAUCCCACCGAGUGACAGUUGAGGGUUGGCAUAGGGACCCAUCAGAGUCUGGGAGGACGACACGACAGGUGAAGGGGACAGGGCCUCGGUCUCUCAUGGCCCUGCUGCCUCCUCGCUCUUCGGCCCCACAGUGGUCCAUGAAGCCAGCUUCUGUACCAUGAAGACAAACACCCCCAGGUAAGAAUACUGGAAUAGGUUGCCAUUCCUUUCUCCAGGGAAUUUUCCUGACCCAUGGAUUGAACCCGAGCAGGUCUCCUGCAUUGUAGGCGGAUUCUUUACCGUCUGAGCCACCUGUAUAAAAUCUACAGGGAAGAAUAACUAGUCAUGACGGGAGUAGGAUGAGAUUAUGUCUCUCCCAUUCAAUCCCAGGUCCCCUGGGCUGAUACAAAACUGUUCCGUGUGGUUUGCUUGUACCCUGAUUUGACUUAGUGAUCAAACUGUGCAGUACUUUGUGCAUCCUGGAUCAUAAAAGGUUUCUUUUUUUUAUUGUUAUACCGAAUUUACCAGCAUAUGAGUGGAAAUUGUCUAUGUAGUUUUUAUAUGUUGUAAUAUUUCUUCAAAUAAAUCUCUCCUAGAAAUUAUUGGCCAAAA